CCUAGAGUUGUAGGCUCUGCCUGCUAUCUCUUACCCAUGUCUUUUGAGUACCUUCGUUUCCUCGGCCGGGUCCGCCCGCCGAUUGGACAAUUUAAACCAUUUGCAGUUGCGAUCAGCGUCUGAAAAAACUUAAUAGUUA
rnacentral:misc_RNA from 1 species